CAGCUCCACGUUUGGAGCGAAUAGCCAAACAAACUGUCAAGAUCAAUGGCUUGUUAUGACUCCAGUCUACGCUCUGCAUCGUGACCCUGAGCUAUGGCCACAGCCGGAAGAAUUCAAACCUGACAGAUUUAGCAAGGAGAACAGACAGAGCAUCAACCCAUACACUUACCUACCAUUUGGACUGGGGCCAAGGAACUGUUUGGGGAUGCGAUUUGCUCUGGUGUUGGUUAAGCUGGCCCUGGUGGAAGUUUUGCAGAACUACAGUUUCUCAGUCUGUGAGGAGACAGAGAUCCCACUGAAGAUGGACCCUACAGGCCUUGUUGGACCCCUAAACCCAAUCAAACUAAAGCUGGUGGCGCGCUGAUCUUUCUAGGG